UACGUAGGCAGCAAGCGUUGUUCGGAGUUACUGGGCGUAAAGGGUGCGUAGGCGGCCUUAUAAGUAUGGUGUGAAAUCUCCCGGCUUAACUGGGAGGGUGCGCUAUAGACUGUGGGGCUAGAGUGUGGGAGAGGAAAGUGGAAUUCCUGGUGUAGCGGUGAAAUGCGUAGAUAUCAGGAGGAACACCGGUGGUGUAAACGGCUUUCUGACCAUAACUGACGCUGAGGCACGAAAGCGUGGGUAGCAAACAGG
rnacentral:rRNA from 1 species